rnacentral:rRNA from 1 species
GACGAACGCUGGCGGCGUGCCUAAUACAUGCAAGUCGAGCGAGCUUGCCUAGAUGAAUUUGGUGCUUGCACCAGAUGAAACUAGAUACAAGCGAGCGGCGGACGGGUGAGUAACACGUGGGUAACCUGCCCAAGAGACUGGGAUAACACCUGGAAACAGAUGCUAAUACCGGAUAACAACACUAGACGCAGGUCUAGAGUUUAAAAGAGGGUUCUGCUAUCACUCUUGGAUGGACCUGCGGUGCAUUAGCUAGUUGGUAAGGCAACGGCUUACCAAGGCAAUGAUGGAUAGCCGAGUUGAGAGACUGAUCGGCCACAUUGGGACUGAGACACGGCCCAAACUCCUACGGGAGGCCGCAGUAGGGAAUCUUCCACAGUGGACGCAAGUCUGAUGGAGCAACGCCGCGUGAGUGAAGAAGGGUUUCGGCUCGUAAAGCUCUGUUGGUAGUGAAGAAAGAUAGAGGUAGUAACUGGCCUUUAUUUGACGGUAAUUACUUAGAAAGUCACGGCUAACUACGUG